rnacentral:rRNA from 1 species
UUAAUAUGCAUUACGCUGCUACAAUGCAGUCGAGCGGCAGCGGAAAGUAGCUUGCUACUUUGCCGGCGAGCGGCGGACGGGUGAGUAAUGUCUGGGAAACUGCCUGAUGGAGGGGGAUAACUACUGGAAACGGUAGCUAAUACCGCAUAACGUCGCAAGACCAAAGAGGGGGACCUUCGGGCCUCUUGCCAUCAGAUGUGCCCAGAUGGGAUUAGCUAGUAGGUGGGGUAACGGCUCACCUAGGCGACGAUCCCUAGCUGGUCUGAGAGGAUGACCAGCCACACUGGAACUGAGACACGGUCCAGACUCCUACGGGAGGCAGCAGUGGGGAAUAUUGCACAAUGGGCGCAAGCCUGAUGCAGCCAUGCCGCGUGUAUGAAGAAGGCCUUCGGGUUGUAAAGUACUUUCAGCGGGGAGGAAGGCGUUGAGGUUAAUAACCUCAGCGAUUGACGUUACCCGCAGAAGAAGCACCGGCUAACUCCGUGCCAGCAGCCGCGGUAAUACGGAGGGUGCAAGCGUUAAUCGGAAUUACUGGGCGUAAAGCGCACGCAGGCGGUCUGUCAAGUCGGAUGUGAAAUCCCCGGGCUCAACCUGGGAACUGCAUUCGAAACUGGCAGGCUAGAGUCUUGUAGAGGGGGGUAGAAUUCCAGGUGUAGCGGUGAAAUGCGUAGAGAUCUGGAGGAAUACCGGUGGCGAAGGCGGCCCCCUGGACAAAGACUGACGCUCAGGUGCGAAAGCGUGGGGAGCAAACAGGAUUAGAUACCCUGGUAGUCCACGCCGUAAACGAUGUCGACUUGGAGGUUGUGCCCUUGAGGCGUGGCUUCCGGAGCUAACGCGUUAAGUCGACCGCCUGGGGAGUACGGCCGCAAGGUUAAAACUCAAAUGAAUUGACGGGGGCCCGCACAAGCGGUGGAGCAUGUGGUUUAAUUCGAUGCAACGCGAAGAACCUUACCUACUCUUGACAUCCAGAGAACUUAGCAGAGAUGCUUUGGUGCCUUCGGGAACUCUGAGACAGGUGCUGCAUGGCUGUCGUCAGCUCGUGUUGUGAAAUGUUGGGUUUAGUCCCGCACGGCGCAACCCUUAUCCUUUGUUGCCAGCGUUCGCCGGGUACUCAAGGAGACUGCAGUGAUAAACCUGGAGGAAGGGUGGGGAUGACGUCAGUCAUUCUUGUCGUACAGUAGGGCUUACCCACGUGCUACAUUGUCCAUCAAGAGAAUCGACUCGCCGAAGCCAGCGAACCUCUAACGUGCGCUCGUAUAUCCGGGAUGA